GACGAACGCUGGCGGCGUGCCUAAUACAUGCAAGUCGAGCGAAGCGGCGGAUGGGUUAGUAACGCGUGGGUAACCUGCCCUUCAGUCUGGGAUACCAUUUAGAAACAGAUGCUUAUCCCGUAUACUUCUGGAUUGUCCUGAGCUGCAUUAGCUAGUUGGUAAGGUAACGGCUUACCAAGACGAUGAUGCAUAGACGAGUGGAGAGGCUGAUAGGCGACAUGGGGACUGAGACACGGCCCAAAAGCCUACGGGAGGCAGCAGUAGGGAAUCGGCCACAAUGGACGAAAGGCUGAUGGAGAAACGCCGCGUGAGUGAAGAAGGUUUUCGGAUCGUAAAGCUCUGUUGUUGGUGAAGCGGUAAUCAACCAGAAAGUCACGGCUAACUACGUGCCAGCAGCCGCGGUAAUAC
rnacentral:rRNA from 1 species